GAAAGAGAGCGACUGCCUCUACUACAUUAGCGAUUACACGAUGAAAGUGAUCACCUGUCAAGUAAAUUACAGUGCUUGUAUUUCUCAACAGGAAAUUAGAGAAGAGUCCUGCCGUGUGCACGUCUGAGGAUGAAGUUGAACUCAAAAAGGAGCUGCAAGUGGACCAUAAAAGGAAGUCUUGAAUUUAAGGUCAGCCGCCGUCUUUCUGCAGCACAGACCUUCCAGAUGUGGUGGCUAAGCUCAUUUUCCAGCACUUUCGGAGGGGAGCAGAAACUCUGAGGUUGGUCAGUCAGUGGAGUUUCUCUGUCGGAGCACGUGAAAGCAUCGAUAUAAAAGCCAGGAAGCCUCGGCUCCAUGUGGCUGACUUUACUUUCACUGAAGAGGAAAUCGUAUGUGCUUUGAGGAAAAAGUAAGAAUCUAUGCAGGCUAUAUACAGAUCCCAGAUCCAGGCCAGACCAGACCACAUUUUUGGGUAAGUUAUGUCUAGUGGUAAUGAGGCAGUACGCACUCUCGUCGUGUAUUGAUUGUGGCGAUGAGGGGACAGCAGAGAGCCUGCAAACAGGCCUCACACUGGAAACCAACGGUGGUUAAACUCCCUCAUCCAUCCCACAGAUACUACAUAAACUGAGCGUAUAAAAAACCUCUCCGGUCCCACGGAGGAGUUUUUACGUCUGAGCCAAACAUGACACAUCCUCCUCCUCCGUCCUGCAUGCUGUCAUCUCGUCCUGUGGACAUGCUAAGCAGUGUACAAAAGAGGAGAAACGACAGGAACAGCACUUGACAGUGAGCUCAGAUGCACUGUGGAGACUUUUUGUUUGUGGACUUGUUGAUUCGAGUUCAUCUUCCACUCCAGCAGUAGCAGCCCGAGCGUGCCUGGCUGUACUUCCUGAUCCUACAUGACAGUCCGGGAUGUCUUGUUUUGACCACCCCCCACUACCCCCCACCAACCACUCUGACAUGAGGUGACCCCCAAGGAAGACAGUUAAUAAAAAUAAAUGGAUGAACCAGCAUCUCA